GAAAUCGAGAACUCUUAAAAAAUAGAGAUCAGUUUGAUUUCUGAAAGUACAAUAUAUCGUUUCUCAUUAAUUGGUUGAGGAUGUACAAAUAUGUUACGUAACUAGUAUAGUAAGCUUGUAAUUAGAUUCGUUUAAUGUUGAUUCUAAUAUUAGAAUAUAAUUGAACUGGUGUCAGUGGGUGGACAUGUUCUAUAUUAGGAUCUAUUGAGAAUCUGUUGACGUGCAAUUAGUAAUCACUAUCUGUAAUAGCAAGUGGUUGAAAUUAAUACGGCUUCGAUCACUGGUGAUUAAUGCUGAUUAGAAGUUGUUUGCGGAAAUUGUUGUUGUCGUUGGACAAUGUUAAUUUAGGUUACGUGUUUGCGAGAAUUAGAGAACGCUUUGUAAGUGCGAAACUCGUAACCUGAAACCAAGUCAACUCAUGGUCAGAAUAAAGACCAUAGAGAUGGAGAAAGAUAAAAAGAAAACACGUACAGCUUGAUGGCCGAAAUUUCGACACGAAACAAAUCGAGGAUCGUUCGACGUGUAUCUGGUUAAUCGUCCGAGGAUUAAACGUCCGUCGCGGUGUCGUUAUGAAUAUUCAUAGAGUGGUCUUUUGUCGACGAACACUGCUUCUGCCCUGCCCCACCACGACAAGAUUUGUGCAUUAGGCAGAGGUAAACGCGAUUUUGGGCAACAUUUGACCGCUUUUUUACCGGCCAAGCCAUCCAACCGUCGCAGGCUGCGACAGAUCGCCAAAGACUUUAUGUAAUUGGAAUUUAUUUAUAGUAGCAUAGUAACAUGCAUUUGAUUUUUUGUAUUUGAUCUUAAUUUCUUAGGUUAUAUCACAUUGAUGUUGAUACAUUAAUCUAUAAAUUAGACCAGUUCUAAAGCAUACAGUUUUAAUCCACUUGUUCAAAAUUUAUUUUCUUUCACUACGGUAUAGUAAAGUAGAAAAUGCAAAUGAAAAACCUUUUCUCUUAAAAUCUAAACUAUACGAAAGUAAAUUACUUGCACAUUAAAUUAAUUACGCAGUGUAAAGUUUAGCUUGCAAAUGCUUUCAACUUAUAAAAUAGAAACUACUCAAAAAUACGUCAUUUAAAAAUUAAAUUGGGUACAUAGCAUAACAACUAAACUCACAUCUCUCAGUUCUGUAAACCUAACACGCAAGAUGCUUUUUGUCAUAAAUGUACCGGUGCAGGUGCUCUUCUUGGAAUAAAGGUUAAAGACCCUUGGUAUGGGGAGUUAAUUUUAGUAUGCAGGUAUUAUUUAGAAUUUUAUUACUUUUUGAGAUUAUAGCGUAAAUUCUGUACCGUUGAAUGCUGUGAGCACUUUAAUACUCGUGUAUUGAUAUUUUUUUCAUGUUGAUGUGGUUACGUUAAAGUAUCCCUAAUAAAAUGUUACUUUUCUUGUUUUUAGUGAAUUCUUGUGCUCGGUGUUGGUUUUUAAUGAACGUAGAAUUAAAUGGUACAAGGAGAAAGUCGAAGCAAAUGGUCGGAUAAGGUUUGACGUUGUUGAUUGGAAUUUUUAAAUGAGUGUGUUUCACUUUAUAGCAUUUGAAGUAAUAUAUGUAUAAUUAAGUACUUUUAGUAGCAAUUAAGGAGUUUGUAAUUGUACAAUUUCAAUUUUUUAGGACACGCAAAUUUCUGAUUCCUGUUAAAGGGAAUUUUUCUUUUUGGAGGAACAAUGAAAUAAUUUAAAUAAUUUGGUCAUUUAUUAAAAUGGACGUAUUUCGUGAUUAUUAAAAAUCUGAGUAUUCGUUAAAAUUGUAGAAUAUCUUCACAUGGUAGAAAUUGAAACGUGCUCGUUUCAAAAUUUCAGCUAAAUAUUUGCUCAAAAUUUCACGGUGUUUAAUAUUUUCUCAUAAGAAAUAUAUUUAUUUGAAAAACUAAAUCUUCCAAAACAUUUUAAUUUCUAAAAGCAUUACCAUGCAUCACGUUACACUUCUCUUAAAAUCAUGCUACAUUUCCAAGCAAUAAUUCUUGAACUAAAACAUAAUGUACGAAUUAUUCUUGGCCUAAACGCUCUGAAUAAUGUUUCUACUCGGUAUCUCAAACAAAUCUUCCACUAAAUUUGUUUGAAAUAACUGAAAUACCAUCUCGUAGACGUAACUUUCGCAAACAUUUGGAAUAUUCGGCUGUUUCAAACUAAUUUACAACGGCAGAAACAGAGUUUCACGGAGAUCCAAGGCUCGAUCCAAGAUCAGAGAAUUCGCGACUUCAUUUACCGACUGCGAGGCGUCUCGAAAGGAGGUCGUGUAGGGUUCACUGAAGACCCUGACUGUUCCAGAGCUCGAGUAUUAAAUAUUGCAGGCGCGGCAAACGAAAGCUACAACUCGACCGCUGCAUUCCGGGAGUUCUUUAGAAUCGUGCGAAUUCACCGGUGCACUCGCGCCAUUUUCCACCGACGCUCAAUUUUCCCCUUCGCGAUCCGGGAUCAUUUUUUUAUCCCUCUACAUCACCGUAGAACUUGAAACACAUGUAUCCACAUGUGUGUUUACACCUUUCUAAAUUUUAUUUCAAUUUAUUUCUUCUAUCUAUAUUCUUCUAAUCUAUAUCUCUUUA